rnacentral:rRNA from 1 species
GACGAACGCUGGCGGCGUGCUUAACACAUGCAAGUCGAACGGAAAGGCCCUGCUUUUGUGGGGUGCUCGAGUGGCGAACGGGUGAGUAACACGUGAGUAACCUGCCCUUGACUUUGGGAUAACUUCAGGAAACUGGGGCUAAUACCGGAUAGGAGCUCCUGCUGCAUGGUGGGGGUUGGAAAGUUUCGGCGGUUGGGGAUGGACUCGCGGCUUAUUAGCUUGUUGGUGGGGUAGUGGCUUACCAAGGCUUUGACGGGUAGCCGGCCUGAGAGGGUGACCGGCGACAUUGGGACUGAGAUACGGCCCAGACUCCUACGGGAGGCAGCAGUGGGGAAUAUUGCACAAUGGGCGGAAGCCUGAUGCAGCAACGCCGCGUGCGGGAUGACGGCCUUCGUGUUGUAAACCGCUUUCGCCUGUGACGAAGCGUGAGUGACGGUAAUGGGUAAAGAAGCACCGGCUAACUACGUG